GAAAACUAAGUAUGCAUCCUUAAUAAACAUACAAGAAUCAGUUAUGAAUAAAAUAGAUAAUUGAAUUGCAAUCAUAACUUAUCAAAUCACAAUUGGAAGAAAUCAAUUCAAAUCUCAAGCAUGUUCAUGGCUUCAAACUUCCCCCUAACUAAAUAGGGGUUUAGCCACUCAUAAUUGCAACAAAAUUAGAAAAUAACAAAGUAGACAUUGAAAGCAAGAACGAAGUACACCUAAAAUGCUCCAAAGUUCCAAGCUUGAAACGCCAAGGACCUUUGUUUUCACCACCUUGUUGUAGCACAAGUGUCUA
rnacentral:lncRNA from 1 species